GACGAACGCUGGCGGCGUGCUUAACACAUGCAAGUCGAACGGAAAGGCCCUGCUUUUGUGGGGUGCUCGAGUGGCGAACGGGUGAGUAACACGUGAGUAACCUGCCCUUGACUUUGGGAUAACUUCAGGAAACUGGGGCUAAUACCGGAUAGGAGCUCCUGCUGCAUGGUGGGGGUUGGAAAGUUUCGGCGGUUGGGGAUGGACUCGCGGCUUAUCAGCUUGUUGGUGGGGUAGUGGCUUACCAAGGCUUUGACGGGUAGCCGGCCUGAGAGGGUGACCGGCCACAUUGGGACUGAGAUACGGGCCCAGACUCCUACGGGAGGCAGCAGUGGGGAAUAUUGCACAAUGGGCGGAAGCCUGAUGCAGCAACGCCGCGUGCGGGAUGACGG
rnacentral:rRNA from 1 species